rnacentral:rRNA from 1 species
UACGUAGGGUGCGAGCGUUGUCCGGAAUUAUUGGGCGUAAAGAGCUCGUAGGCGGUGUGUCACGUCGGCCUGAAAACCUGCAGCUUAACUGUGGGCGUGCGGUCGAUACGGGGCAUCACUGGAGUUCGGCAGGGGAGACUGGAAUUCCUGGUGUAGCGGUGAAAUGCGCAGAUAUCAGGAGGAACACCAAUAGCGAAGGCAGCUCGCUGGGACGGUAAUUGACGCUAAGGGCGCGAAAAGCGUGGGGGAGCAAACAGG